rnacentral:lncRNA from 10 species
GUGCAGAGUAUCAUUGCAGCGCUUUUCCAGGGAGUAACGUGCUGCACUGGUUCAGGGCUUUGUCUUUAUUCACAACACAUUCAUGUGCCUCAGCAUGGGGGCAGCUGCACUGUUGCCUGCCAGCCUGUCCUCUUUGACUGCCGAAUGAACCAAAGGAUAACUCUCCAUUCGUGAGAGAGAGUGAGCUACAGAGGAAGAAAGACCACGCAAAAGGGAGGGGGAGAGAGGGGGGCGAAGAGGAUGUUCUCCGGCUCACUCCUACAUUAGGUCUCUGUGCAAAGGCAGAGGCUGUGGGAGCAGCAUCAAGCAAGACUUCGGGCAGUGAUUCUAACUAUUGCCUAUGAACACCGUGGCUGGGACGACUUUGACGAGGCAAUUUAUUACUUACGCAUAGAACACUGGCUGUGCUGAAACUGGGAGCGCAAACAGCCCCUUGUUUUCUAAUUUAGAGACUUGCAUCUUUUCGACACUCAACAGUAUCAAGACACUCUGCUACUACAGAUUGAUUUCCACCAUCAACACCUUUACCUCUUCCCGCCUGAAAAUAAAAUAUGAAAUAUAACAAGUAAAUCGCAAUCUACCUUGCACAGAAUCUUCUGGAGAGGAAAGAAGAAACCAUGUCUAGACAAGGUGCUGGAAAGACCCAGGGAAGACACAGAUGGGAUCAUCCAGUUGCUGGAAAACAAACUCAGGUCUCCCACUGGUUCUACAUUAUGGGAAAUCAUCUUUCGGGAAUUUAUCUAAGAAGAACUUCUUAUGAUGAAGUCUCACUCUGUCACCCAGGCUGGAGUGCAGUGGCGCCAU